GACUGCCCGACCUCUUGAGUCAUUUGUGCUGUAGAAGACCUUGGUUCAAACCCUUCUUUCUGCAUCUCUAUCAGCCGUCUCUCAGGAAAAACAGCUAAACCCCCAGGGUGGAAAUUAGCCUGGAAUAUGUCAGGGUUGAAGAAAAUCUGACAUGUCUCGCUCUGACGCUACUCCAUUUUUCAUUCAACGUUUAAAGAUGAGUUGGAGCAGGGGCUGGCUUCGGAUGCAUUCAGAUGGGCUGUGCAAAAUGGAAGGGCUUCAGUAGAGCAAGCCAGCAUAUCCCAUGCCCACCCUGCCCCAAACGGUGCCCACUGGCUGAUGAAGGUGAGCCUCCAUCUGGGAAGCUGCUAUUCAGCUAACUCAAGAGGGGAGGAGGAGAAAUGGGAUGGAAGCGUGUCCUGGGGGUGCCCAGGAAAAGUUAGGAUGGCUGCUGAUCAUUGGAAGGAGCUGGACUGUGAUCCCCACACUUGCCCAAGUCCUUCCAUGACUCCAGCUCUGCACAUCACUGUUGCUCGCUUCCCCCAACACUACAAUGGAAAUAAUAUUAUUCCCUCCUUAGAAGGCUUUGAGAUGCUCAGUUACUAUGGUGAUGGGGCCAUAAAAGUACCAAAGAUAGCAAGAACAAUAAUAAUAUCAGACAUGGUAAGAGCCAAAUAAUUGCAUUUAGGGCACGCACACAACACAGAAGAGAGCCACCUCCACGCACCACAGCGCUCGGGCUCCGAAGACAACUUGUUACACCAGCAGGCUCACGGCCUAUUUAAGAGCUAAUUUCCAAUCCCUGCACUGUCCACCGAAGGGCGAGGAGCAGUGCAGCUCUGUGCCCACUCCCUCUGCAGCAGCCUCAAAGCAGGGAGCAGUGGGAUGAGGGCCCUUUGCCAGGACCAACACCAGCACACCAGCACUGUCACACCACGUCCCCGCAGAUGCGCGGCCGCCACUUUGUUUGACCAGCUGAGCGUUUCCCCCCAGCACGAUGCUGCUGGCCCUUUGGCUCCUUUUUCUCUGCUGCUUUGUCUCUUGCCUCGUUUUUUGUUUUUUUUUCUUUUCUUAUUUUUUCUUUUGAAAUAUAUGGGGUUUUAAUUGGGGAAAAAAAAAACCACGUAGCAUCUGUGGCUGCUUAAUAACACCUGUGCGUGGCGAGGCAGCUUUUCAGCAGCUAUUGUCACAGCGUUCUCAUCUGUGCAGUGCUGAGCUGCUGCUGCGUGGCCCCCAUGGAACUGCUCAAGCAGGAGCCAUCCUCGGAGGGCACGUAAUUAACAGGUGGUGCAAAACAAUAUGCUGUUAAAAAAAUAUGAGCGACAAGCCUUCUUACUAGGGAGAUGCUUAGGGAUGCGCAGGCAAUGCCUUUGCCGUGCCUCUAUGGGAGUGGUGCCUGCAGGCAUCUGAGGGGCAGUGCAUUUUGGCUUCUGUGUCAGCUCUGCAUCUCAAUCCUUGGUGGGCACCCACCUCCUUUAGACCUGGGAAGCUCAGGUGGGGCCCAAAUCCAUCUCCCCAUUGGGUGAAGGAAUGAAGUCCUGUUCCCAGAUGGUGGAGCGGUUUGGCCAAGGAAUAGAAGAGCAGCACAGCAAACAUCUCCGUGUGAUGCAGCUCUGCAGAGCCCCGUGUAACCCGGGGUAUUUAUGCAGAACCCUCCGGGCACUUCCCUUCAGCUCAGCCAAUUUGUUCAGGCUUCGAAUUUCCCUCAUCUCUCAGAGUACAUUAAAAAAAUCAAUGUAAUUACACAGCAAACAUUAAUUAUGAUCAAAAAUGCAGCUGAGAGGGAUUGAUCUGGAGGAGAUCGCAAGGCUGUAUCUAGCCACAGAACUGCCAAAAAAAUCAGCUCAACGAGGCUGAGGCCACGGGGAUGUGUGGCCUGUCUGAACAGCAAGGAGUCCUUGGAGACACCUGGAUUGUGGUUUCUGCCUCUGAUUUCUCUUAUGGCAGGCACAGGGACGGGUGAGCUCCAUGGGGACGGAGCAGCUUCCUGGUCACCACAGCCACAUCAGUGAGGCCUGUGUGUGAUGAGCUGCCCCGUUGCCUCCUUGGGACUUGCGUGGGGAAACAUCCUGCAGCACCAGAUGUUAAUGGCACUGCAUGGGGACAGCAAAACCUGGACUAAGAGACUGGAGUCCAUCAGCCAAGUGAGAGGUUUUUGUUAUUGCUCCAUUCUUUAAGGCAGAGGAAGGCACCUGGAAGCAGAUGCUCGUCCUUUGGAGGAGGGAGCAGCUCUUGGCCCUUCUGCUUGGGCACACUGCAGGACCCCGAGGUUUUGGGGAGGCACCCACACCCAGCACCCACACUGCGUUCUUCCCUCUGCUUCUCCCACCUUCCCCUGCAGCCUCCUCCUGCCCCACACGGCAGGCUGCUGCUCAGACAACCAUUACCCAGGUAGCAGGAGGAAUUUCCUAGAAAACGGUACAGAAAAGCACCUCCUGCAGAGCUGCCUCCUAAUAAGUCCCUGUUCUUCCACAGGCGGAAGGCGAAGCGGCCGAGCUUCAGCUGCACACACAGCAGGAGGGAGGGGGAGCGCGCCGGGAGCGAGAUGCAAACAGACCCAGGGAGGGGGAAAGCAGAGGCGUCAUGGAAGGGCUGGAAGAGAAAAUGGUUUCCUUGGGAAGAGGCUGGCAAGUCUCAGCUGGAAAGGGACAGCAAGGGAGAGAUGAGAGAGCUGCUCUGGGUUGGAGAGAGAAGAGGAGCACGGUUUGGGAACAUGCAGCCCAUGCUGAUUGCAUGUGGGCAUCCUCCUGCAGGCUCCAGCUCAACACUGGGCAGAGCCUCAUCACUAGAAAGACAAAGGGUGAGAAAACAACUUCGUUAUCUCUGUGCUGUGACCUCCAGUGCAAGCCACUCAGCGUGCGGCUCCCCUGCAUUGUGCACAAAGAUCAGUGGAAGGAAGCAUGGAGCUGAGAAGACACCGUUGCGUUAACGAGCAGAAAUAAAGCCACUUGUAGAGGAUGCUGCUUCCACAAGGUGGGAUUUCACCCCAUAUAUCCUCAUGCAUGGGCUGUGUCAGUACCGAGUCCGCAACAUCAUGCCAUGCAAAACAAAGAGGGAAUAACAGCUGGGAACUGGACCUGCACCACGGGAUGUGCUACUGGGAAGCAUCCCAUGGUGAGGACUGCCCCAUCCCACCUCGCUCCGAGAGCAAGGGCAAGGAGUAAGACAUCAGUGGGAUCAUUAAUUUCAUUGUGGGUUUACAAGCAGUGAAAUCUGCUCCUUCCUCUCUGCAGAGUCAGCAGCUCCCCCCACCAUGUAUUACAUUUUAGUCUGUAAGUGCAAAGUGAUUUCCGUUGAGGGUAGGGACGCUGAAGCACAGAGAAAAAGGAGAAUAAUAUCUUAUCUUCCUUUAAUCCCCUCCAUCCCAAAGGGUCGCAGAGCCGUUAGCUUCCCUUUCCGUAUGUACGCACAGUUAAUUAGCAUUGCUAGAGAACUGCAGGUAUUCUCAGACUUAGUGGAGGGAAUAUCUUGUAAUAGGACGGUAAGCAAAUUGUUUCUGCUGCUUCUAUUACAGCCGGCUUUGAUUAUCCGGGGUAAUGGGAUAACAGGGACAAAGCAAAAACAUGGAUAACAUGAAACCUAUGCAAAUGAAGCUGGGAAAAAAAGUGCUGCUGAGAGUAAUGGAGGAAAGAAAGGUCAGCAAUGCUGAUGAAGGAGCGUGGAGAUCCCUGUGCUAGCACUGCCAUGAGCUCACAAGCCCAUGCAUAAUGGUACCUGGGUUCACAGAAUCACAGAAUGGCCAGGGUUGGAAGGGACCUCAAGGAUCAUGAAUCUCCAACCCCCCCUGCCACGUGCAGGGCCACCAAGCUCCCCAUUCAAUACUAGACAGGCUGCCCAGGGUUGGGAGCUUCUACCCCAGGCAUGGAGCUGCUCAAGAGAAGCUGUGGGAUGAGAGUGGCCUUGCAGAUCCAUAGGUCCUGGCCCUAUAGAGGGAGCAGAGAUCUUCCCUGGAUGGUACAACCAAGUUACAGCAGAGGGAGGGGAGCUGCAUUAAAGCCAAGCACUUCAAAGCCUCCACAUGAGGGAUAUGUCAUUAAAAUACAUAAGAUUUGGGCACCCAACCCUCCUCCUCCUUACACAAGCAGGAAGAAGCCCAAUUUAAAGGUCAGCAUCUUAAAAUCUUUCGCUGUGUAUAUACCAGGAUAACUCAGCUCCAAACAGAAACCCCACACCCGCUUGAUGAGCCACUCUUUGUAGGAGCAUGGCAGGAGCACCGAGAGCCCAAUCAGUGCAAGGGUAGGGGCUGUGAUAAAGCAGGAGGAGAGAUAACAGAGGAGCUCCAAGAAGAUCCAGCCCCAACCACAUCUGCUUGGGCAAAGGACCGGCCCAGCAGUCCUUGAUUUGCUCUGUAGGCCCCCAUCCCUAAAGGGGAAUUUCAAAUCCACAACAGCAACGUCAUGGAGGCAGCUCUGAGAAAUCUCUGGUGGUGGGUGGAUGGAAAGGGCACCCGUGGAGAUGAGCCAGAAAGAAGAGAGGGAGGAAUCUUGGAGGAAGACUAACCUUCUUAAUAGGUUUUAUUGAUUUAACCCAAAGAGAGAACAGUAGGGGGAAACUUAUGCCAUUUAAAUGCAAACCAGCAAUAAAAAUAAUCAUUAGAGUCAUAAUCUCAAUCUGUUAGCAUUUUAUGUAGAAAUGAGCUUAAUGGGAAAUGUUUUCCAUGUAAACUAUUUGCAUUCACUUAGUACGAAUAAGCCUCUUAAAUAUAAUUCAGUCAUUACCACUGAGUUUUAUUAAGAGGUUGGUUUGGGUCCUAAUUGCUUUAAAGUGUCUGUCUUGGGAAAGCCGCUGGCCUGCCCCAGCCAGGAUUUAAUGUUCAUAUCCCCAUGGAUAUUCUUGUUUCCACACUGAGAAUACAUGUGGAUUUUGAUGGCGUUCAGAAAACGUCACUCUUCACCCAAACUGCACUGAGAUUUUGGGACUGACCAAGGAGGGGCCGCAUUUCUCAGUCAGAUACUGGGGUCUUUGCAGAGGAAAAGUAACUUCAGAGCACGUUUCCAGGCCCUUCAUUUCCUACAAACAGCGAGAAGCAUCUGACAAUCUUUCUUAGCAGCUUUCUCCCUCGUAAAAUAAGAGGAAAACAUAGGCCAUAGGGAGGGGGAAUCAGAGGCACCCAGCAGCUCCAAAGAGGCUUUUUCUGGCCACUGCCCUGUCCCCAGGAUCAGUCUCCAUGGGGCAUGGCUCUGUGCAUGUGCAGAUGCUCCGGGGAUGUCACCAGCCCUGUGCCACCCACGCCACGCGCACCUCACAGCCACAAAGAGAGAAAUAAAUACCCUCUUCUGCCUGGGGACACCUUUUAAUCUUCUUGCUAGAUUUCCAUGCCCCAGUCUGGAGGCUCAGUGGGGCCAGCCAUGAUCUCAUUUUGCAUCCCACCCACGGGGCUCUGCACAGCUGAGCCUGCUGCUUGUGCCACGUGCCGGUAGGGGCUGGGGUUGCUGCUUCCUGGCGUCCCAACCCUCCACAACAGCCCAAAUCCUAUCCCACUAGGAAAAGCAUCCUAUGGAGGGAACAGUAGUGAUGCAGUCAAGGUGCUGGACCUUGCUGGUGGCAGGACACACAGACACCACAAGCAGUGGCUUUCCAGGAUGCCAUGGCAGAUGCUGCCAGGCUCAAAGGGUGGCUGGUGCUGCCUGGCACAGCACUCCAUUGGGCCAGGUGACGCUGCCCACCUGGUGCAUUUGGGGUUUCAGAUCUCUUCCAGACGAGCCCCCAGAUUUUGUAAAAUCUGGGUAACUUCAGGAUGCGUGUGAGGUUACCCUCACCAGGCUCUGCUAAGAGUAAUCAGAGCUUCAGGCCAUAAGCCGAUUCCUUGUGCAUCUCAGGAAGGAAUUAGCCCUGUCUCCCCCGUCCCACACCACCAUGCAGCAUUUGCACAGCUCAAAGGACUUGAGUCCCAAUGCAGAUUUUGUCCCAGGGUAACAAGGGCCCUAUGAGAGGCAGGGGAACUCUAUGUCAGCCACCACCUCCCCCCUCCCAGAGGCUCCUGCCUCGUUUCUCCCCCAGUUCUGCUUCUGCUGGCAGCAGGAAUUCCUCUACGUUUGCUGAGCAACGUGUUGCAGUCUGCAAUAGCUCACCCUGGCUGGAAGCUCAUCCUUGUGUGUAAAUACUGUGUGCAACUGUGUCUUCAUUUCAUGUUAUGGAAGUGCAUCCAAAGCAGCUAAGCAGACUUUCUCUGCAGUGUGGAUGGUGUAAAUGAUCCAAAUUUAACAUGUGGUUACAUGGUCUGAAGAUUUCAUUGAGCUUUCAGGUCGGAUGGCACUGUAACUGCAGUCCGGCCUCCUGGCUGCUGGGUUUUGCCCCGGGGUUUAAAGCGAGUUGGGCUCUUAAGCUCCAACCUUCUGAUGCACAAUGAGUCCAGUUUGUAAGCAGGAGCAGUGGCUGCUGCAGGCAGGUGGUUCACAACCUACCCGAAAACCAAAGACCAGAACCUUGCCCAGCAGUUCUGAAGGGCAGCAGGUUCUGGCUGACAGCACAUCCACAGACUGGGUUAUUUUGCUAUAGCGUGUUUGACUUGUGAAGUGAAGGUAAUGAAUGGUUCUGAGGUCAAAGCCGUUAUUCAAAAGCAAUAUUGUUAUCACUGCUUCCAUCUGUAAGCCUUGCUAUUCCUUGCUAUUCAGAAGCCAGCGCUGUCACAGAACAGCAAGACAGGUGAUUGCCUGGGGUCUGCCAGGUGGGUCACUGAGACAGACUGGGACUAAGGGACUGCUGAGGAGAGAUGUGGCACCAGCAGCCCAGGAGCCAUCCCACAUCCCUGCCCCAGUACUGGGUGGCACUGGCACGGGGAUGAGGGGCUGGGAAGGAGCUGCAUGUCCCCGUGCCCAAUGUCUUGUGCCACGUGGCAGAUUCCCAAGCAGCUGGGAGAGGACGAUGAUUUCUAUUGCCAGUUUUCUAAUUUAUCUAAUGAGCAAGAAAAUAAAUCAAGCUGACAGUCACCCAGGUGGUUCUGAGCUUCUGCUGGCUCCUCAUGGUCCCCUUGUUCCUCCAGCCCAUUUGAUAGCAGGGUUAUAACCUGAGGACGUGGCAAUAAUUCCUGCUAUAAUCUUUUCUUUCCUAACGUCACUUAGCAGAUGGAGUCAUUUAGAGGUGCUCAUGUUUAUAUGAACGGCUUGCCCUGAAAGGGACGGAGCCGGGGAUGCUGGCAAGAUGUUUGGGAUCGUUAGCCUAGAAAAUGCUUAGCAGGGGAAGCAGUUGGCAGGCAGAUUUCACGGACAUGGCGCCGGUAUCUUCUGCCAGCAAAAUUACAAGGCUGAAAUCCUUGAGCUGGAUGGGGCCAAACUGUUCACAGCAAACAAUUUAAUUGAUGAAUGAAGUGGAUUGCCCAGGAGAUGGUUUUCAGUCAUCUGCUCAUUGCACGAAGCCACUUGGAGGAAGAGCCAUGCCAUCGGGUGUCACCAGCUGCCCAUGUAGGCAUGGGCUGGCUGGGGGUCCCCAACCCCACACUCUCCUGGACCUCUGUGCCUCAAAUGAGCAGCCCAGUGCCAUGAGCACAGCCACCUCCAAGCUCGUCUGCUUCAUCUCACCAAAUGCAUUAUGCUUGCCUACAGAUCCUGCUGCUAUCAGGUCACUGCAGCUAGAGCCAUGAUGCUACCACGCUGAAGAUGUCAGUGCUGGUUUGAGUGGGCCCCUACACAACAUGAAAAAGAACAAAGCCAAACUAAACAGCAACACUGCCUUGUCAGCCUCUGCAAGAAGUGAGGUGGCAGCCUCAGAGGAUUCUCCUCUCCAGCCCUCUGACCCUCUGCACAAUACCACACAGCUGCCAGCAUAGGCUUCUUUCAUCUGGUCGACUAGAGUAAACGACCUCUCCAUCUCCUCAAAAGUGAAUAGCCAUGAAAAUGCACAUUGAGAUGAAAGUUUACAACCCUUGAAAAUGUUCUCUUGCUUGUGAAAGGGCUUCUGAGAAAGAAACAAAAGGGACAAUGAGUGCCAAGGAAGGGGGAGAUACUGCUCAUGCUGCUGGGCAGCAUUUGACCCGUCCCAUGCAGAGGUUGGGCAGAAGAAGGAGACAAGGGGUUGAGACCAGCAGCUGCAGUCACUGCCCUGCAGGAGCAGCAUCUCAGUGUCCACAGAGCCCAAUCCCAAAUUAUUCAGCUCAAGUGUUCUCAAACUCUUAUUCUGCUGCUUUCUGGCAGGCAUGGUGCUUUCUCUGCAAGUCCCAUUUUACAUCUUUGGUAAUUCAGUGCAGGUGUAACACUCAAUUGUGAAGACCCAGCAGGAGCCUGUGAUGCAGGCAUCUUCAAGACAUAGGGCUUAUCAGUUCAAAUAACACAACUGUCUUUUAUCUUUUGUGUCCCAAGCUGUUCUGGCACUCAUAUUUGUAAUUUGUUGCCUGGCUCUGGGUCUGGCUCCAGCAGGACACUCACUGCUGUCCAUCUGCCUGCAUUGCUGGCAUUUCUGUGUCCACCCAAGGGACCUGAGUGCCUAUGCUCUGCUUAUCUUUGCAUCCUCAUUGGCCAACAGUCACUUUGAAAGCAAGCCUUGGGAGCUGUAGACUUGCAGGUGCUUUCAAACAAUGCGCCCCAAACCCAAGCUGCUCAUCAGUCCCUACCUCCCAGCAACGACUGCUCCCUCUCCAUCCCAUAUGGCCUCCAGCAGUGCCCAAACACCCAGCACUACCAUUCCACCCAUGGACCAGCACGCCUUUCACCAGCACUGCAUUCUCUUCAAAAGAGGAUAAACGAGGUAAAAGAAGAAAAGGUGAAAACAUGAUAAUAGCUGUGGGAAAAGGGCCACUGCUAUAGAUUCGACAAUGCUGGAAAUGGAGGCUCUGAGAAAAGUUUUUCUCCUGAAAUUAUUCUUUUCAACCUCAACAGCUCACCGAAGAAAAGUUUAAGCACACUUUUUAACACCUUUUGUACUCAAAUUCCAAAUUCACUUGUCUACCCGAGCAAUAACAGGAAUAAUCUUUUUUAUCCAGCUGCACAUUCUGCUGUCAAAAUUUGUUUCCAUUAAACUGUUCCCUUUUGUCCUCUUAAAAAGCAUAUUUUAAAUAAUAACAGGGGAAAAAAAAAUAAAUUAUACACUAUCCAAAAACUCAACCCUGUCGACUGUGCACUUUUAUACAAAAGUUAUCUCCUUCUCUCGAUGAACUGAUGAAAACCCUUUUCAUAAUGCUGAGGUGGAGAUGAGAAAGAGGAAGAAUACUUCUCAGUGCGCCCAGCACAGCCACUCAUUUCAACAGGAAGCACAUGGCAAACUCCGGGCUUAGAAAACUAAAUUACAGCACCAAGGUGAACCCGACGUUCUUUUUUUUUUUUUUUUCUGCUUUGUAAAAAACCAUUCUGUGGAAGUUGGAAUGGAGGAACACAUUGAGCUUCUCAUUCAGGGGAAAAAAAACGCGUUUUUUCUAUAUCCCUUAAAUCUUAACAGGAGAAUGUGAAUUCAAGCUAAUAUAUAUAUAAAAACCAUAAUAAACUUGCACUGCUUGCACACCCUCAGCAGUGUAGCAGCUGCAGCUCACUCGUAGUUCCUCCAGGAAGGUCCAUGCUCAGCACCCAGCUCACCAUCCCUCUUCCCCAUGCCCAGCUGUCUCACAUCAGUCUCCUUCUCUCACUCUGGACAUGCAAGUAUGAAGGUUGCUCCCUACCUUUGUGCCUGUGUGUUGCUGCUGGCUCCUGCUGAAGUCAUGAAGGUCUGCUAGUUGGUGUCUGUAGGGGCUGCGGGGCACAGUGGGCACAGCAUUGGGGGUCCUGCAGGACGGUCAGCACUGGUGUUGGAACUGCAAGGGCAGAAAUGAAAACGUUAGGGGGAAAUUUCAUUGGGGUAUAAAGUGUUGAGUAACACGAAGCUGUCCCAGGGACAGCAUGGCUGCUUCAGUUGCUGCAGUGCAGGGAGCAGAUGGGUAUGGGAAGAGGACCAUGGAAAGGUCCCAGCACUGAGAGCAGCUGCUCAACAUCACAGUGCAAAGGGAAUCCAUCUGCUAGCAGAGGAGGGGCUGUAAGAAAUGUUGGGAGGACUGAAGUUAGAGAAAUGGGACAAAUGGGGACAGACUGGGAUGCAGAAGACAGAUAGCUCUGGGCAUGCACGGGGCAGAUACCAGCAGGGAUAUCAGCACAGAACUCCUCGAGGAGUGCAGAGCCACCACCAGCACCAGCCACACUGCAUGGGCAGAUUUCAAUAAGCUUAAUCAUCUUUUCACAUGGGAAUCAGAUGUGCUUUUAAUUCUUAAUUGCCAUUUUAUUGUCCUCACUGCUCACUUCUCACCCCCUUGUUGUUCUUGGAUCUGGGUGCCUGGCUGGCCAGGGCUCCCUGUCCUCAUCACUGCUGUCAGCCUCCAGCUUGCUCUGAUGUGAGACCACCAGCACAGCAAGAAGUGACACUGACCACAACAGGACUCAUCUGCACAACACCCAGUGCCUUGUUUCAUUAUCAUCAACACGAUAACAAUAAGAGCGACAUUAGCAACAAGCACUUUAUUAUCCCUCCUGCUAUCCUCAUUCAGACGUGGCAUUCAGAAAGACAACCCAAACUCAGUGUGAGAUCCAGGGGGGCAGGGCAGUUAAUUAAACAUCAGAGUGAUGGGCAGAGCUGGGAUGAGCCAAGAGUGGCAGCAGAGCUGGACAACCCCUGCCAUGCUCAGGGAGAUGGAUGGAUCUGGGACACUGCCAGCCCUGUCCCCCAGCAGAGGCAGAGCCCUGCUACAUGCACACAUCUUUACACCCAGCCUUGCUCCCUGCUUGGUUGCUGUUUCAUUGACUUAUGCAGGUGAGAACGUUUUCUGGAGAAAGCUGCCUCCCAAGCUGUGCUACCGAUUGCCAUCUGAUCUGGUGACAUUUUAUUACCUCCAAAU